UACAGAGGUCCCAAGCGUUGUUCGGAUUCAUUGGGCGUAAAGGGCGCGUAGGUGGCGCCGUAAGUCGGGUGUGAAAUUUCGGAGCUUAACUCCGAAACUGCAUUCGAUACUGCGGUGCUUGAGGACUGGAGAGGAGACUGGAAUUCAUGGUGUAGCAGUGAAAUGCGUAGAGAUCAUGAGGAAGACCAGUGGCGAAGGCGGGUCUCUGGACAGUUCCUGACGCUGAGGCACGAAGGCCAGGGGAGCAAACGGG
rnacentral:rRNA from 1 species